rnacentral:sRNA from 1 species
UUACUAUUACGCUUGUUUGUGCCAAAUC